CCUACGGGUGGCUGCAGUGGGGAAUAUUGGACAAUGGGCGAAAGCCUGAUCCAGCCAUGCCGCGUGUGUGAAGAAGGCCUUCGGGUUGUAAAGCACUUUCAGUGGGGAAGAAAGCCUUGGGGCUAAUACCCUCGAGGAAGGACAUCACCCACAGAAGAAGCACCGGCUAACUCCGUGCCAGCAGCCGCGGUAAUACGGAGGGUGCGAGCGUUAAUCGGAAUUACUGGGCGUAAAGCGCGCGUAGGCGGUCUGAUAAGCCGGUUGUGAAAGCCCCGGGCUCAACCUGGGAACGGCAUCCGGAACUGUCAGGCUAGAGUGCAGGAGAGGAAGGUAGAAUUCCCGGUGUAGCGGUGACAUGCGUAGAGAUCGGGAGGAAUACCAGUGGCGAAGGCGGCCUUCUGGACUGACACUGACGCUGAGGUGCGAAAGCGUGGGUAGCAAACAGGAUUAGAUACCUGGUAGUC
rnacentral:rRNA from 1 species